ACGGGGUGCAGCAGGCGCGAAACCUCCGCAAUGCACGCAAGUGCGACGGGGGAACCCCAAGUGUCACUCUUAACGGGGUGGCUUUUCAGAAGUGUAAAAAGCUUCUGGAAUAAGGGCUGGGCAAGACCGGUGCCAGCCGCCGCGGUAACACCGGCAGCUCAAGUGGUAGCCGCUUUUAUUGGGCCUAAAGCGUCCGUAGCCGGUCUGAUAAGUCUCUGGUGAAAUCCCACAGCUUAACUGUGGGAAUUGCUGGAGAUACUAUCAUGACUCGAGGUCGGGAGAGGCUGGAGGUACUCCCAGGGUAGGGGUGAAAUCCUGUAAUCCUGGGAGGACCACCUGUGGCGAAGGCGUCCAGCUGGAACGAACCUGACGGUGAGGGACGAAAGCCAGGGGCGCGAACCGGAUUAGAUACCCGGGUAGUCCUGGCCGUAAACGAUGUGGACUUGGUGUUGGGAUGGCUUCGAGCUGCCCCAGUGCCGAAGGGAAGCUGUUAAGUCCACCGCCUGGGAAGUACGGCCGCAAGGCUGAAACUUAAAGGAAUGGCGGGGAG
rnacentral:rRNA from 1 species